GUUGCAUCUUAUCAUUAGCUUAAGUACAAAAUAACCCCUGGCCUAAUAACACAUCUGUAGAAAGCUUGCUGGGUUUAAAUUAGGUUGAUUGGAUCCCACGUAACCAUGCAAACUUAAGAAAGGAAGGCUACACUGCCAGAUAUUGGGGUGAGUGGAUGCUUCAGGUCUAUUAGCAGAUAUGUUUCUCUUAGGUUUUUAUGAGGCACCAUGCCUUACAAGGAAGGGAAUCAAUUUAUCCAUGGACCACACCUUCCCCAAGGCUAAGCUUAGCUCUGUAUUUAUAGGGAGCCCACACUCAGAUCCUGCUUACUACAUCCUGGUUCCUAUCUAGUCAUGAAUAAUAACAGUCCCUCCCUAUUGCUCUUCACUGACAGUCUCGAAAAGUAAAGUCUUCAUUAUGCUUCCACAGAAACCCAGCAUUAAAAAGUGACUUAACCCUGGCUAUGCAGUAGCUCAGGGUAAAGAAGGGAACAAAAACCAGGUCUCCUACUUUCUAGUCCAUUGAAUCACAAUGCUAUAAGGGUUGCAUCAUGUCUGCGAGCAACUGAGCAUUUUCUGAGCCAGGCCUUUUAUUUACAUGGCUUUAAUCACAUCCUUUCUUACAGGAAGCGAGAAGUGCUUUUCCUGGCUCUGUGAUUUUAGGACUGCUCAAUCCUCACCAGUACACUUAUCUGUAAAUUGCUCAGAAGUAAAGAAAGGGGAGGGGCAAAAAGGGGAUUGCUUAGACAUAUCAUUCCAUGAUAGCACUGGGGAAAGAAGCCAUUGGUGACUGGACGGAUGCAGGUGCAAAUACAACCUGGAUGUGACUGGAUUAGGUGGCAUGUUGCCAGGGCUGCCCUUGACUUGCAGCUCUUGAGCUAACUGCCAAAAGGGGUUGGACUUGUUCUUCAGGGAAGUGUUGAGAUCCUGUGGAUCUUCCAGGACCCCUGUCUCAGGAGAGACCUUGGUCUCAGUGGAAAGAAGCAGACAUCCCAGCCAGACUCUACUAAUUGCCUUGCAUGCUUGCAAGGCAGCCCAGGAAGCACUGAACCUCGAGUUGCCAACACACAACCUCAAAUUGCCAGCAUCUCUCUUGUUCUUCCUGGUCCCCCAGAGCUGGAAACAAGAAGAGAAAACAGAGCAAACGAGCACACUGGCUUCUGGAGAUUUCACUGUUCUGCUGCCCCCACACAUGAAUUUGGCCCAGUAUGUCAGACAAUCUUUUGCAAACCUUAGUUUAACCCAGAGAAGGAGUAUCACAACAAAUUCCUUGCAGCAGACUGCUACCAUAUCACUCCCUUAUUCUGGGACUCUCUGUUAA
rnacentral:lncRNA from 1 species